UAUGCCUUAAUUUAUAUAACAAAUCAAUCUCUGAGAAAUAAAAAGAAUGUUAAUUAAAUGCAAAUCUAGGCUCCUUGCACCUCCUCAGAACCCCACUUGCUCCAAAACUAGAAAGAUCUAACAAAACCCUAAAAUACAACUGCUGAUUUCGCUUUCUAUUGAUAGUUAAUUCCAGAUUUCGGAGCAAUGUCAGUCAUUGUCAAAGUCUUCCUGAAGAGAUUCAGGUGGAUAUCUUUCUAAGGUUACCAGUAAAUUCGAUCUUAGUGUCUACAUGCAAAGAUUGAAUUCUGAUUCACUGGUCCAUUGAAUCGGGUACUUAUGUGGAGAAAAGACAAGCAGCAAAGUAAUCAAGUGAAAUCUAUCAAUAUUGAGGUUAACUUUCUGCCUGAAACUAUCCAGUGAAUGUAUUCUUUGCUGUUUGAUUGUCCCUUGCCCCAAGGCUUCCCAUCCUUUUACACCAUUGUUGAAUUCAGGAUUGACUAUAAUCCCUCCUUCAUAGUGAGGUUUCUCAGGCUCUGCCAAGCACUAAUAGAGGAGUAGACGAUGGACAAAGGAAGAACAGAUGGAAUUUAGUCGGUAAAUAGUGUAUAAGCAAUGAAAUGGAGCAAGGAAUGCAAGAAGUUGUAGUACAUGACUUACUCAUGUGGUUGCUGCUUCAUGGUUUGUGGUGCUGACGUUUCUGGCGCUGUUACUUUGAAGCUCUGAGUCACUGUGGAAUUCAUAAAUGGGUGACUAAUCGUUACAUCAUAGUCCCCGUGGAAAAGCGAAGUCUUGAAGUCACCGUUCACA